GAUGAACGCUGGCGGCGUGCCUAAUACAUGCAAGUCGAGCGAACAGACGAGGAGCUUGCUCCUUUGACGUUAGCGGCGGACGGGUGAGUAACACGUAGGUAACCUACCUAUAAGACUGGGAUAACUUCGGGAAACCGGAGCUAAUACCGGAUAAUAUUUCGAACCGCAUGGUUCGAUAGUGAAAGAUGGCUUUGCUAUCACUUAUAGAUGGACCUGCGCCGUAUUAGCUAGUUGGUAAGGUAACGGCUUACCAAGGCAACGAUACGUAGCCGACCUGAGAGGGGGAUCGGCCACACUGGAACUGAGACACGGUCCAGACUCCUACGGGAGGCAGCAGUAGGGAAUCUUCCGCAAUGGGCGAAAGCCUGACGGAGCAACGCCGCGUGAGUGAUGAAGGUCUUCGGAUCGUAAAACUCUGUUAUUAGGGAAGAACAAACGUGUAAGUAACUGUGCACGUCUUGACGGUACCUAAUCAGAAAGCCACGGCUAACUACGU
rnacentral:rRNA from 1 species